UCGCUACACUCUAUGUCUCAAUCUCUCGACCGGAGACACUCGAGAAUUAAAUGCAAUUCAGUUCAGACAUUAAAUCAAUACUCUCGCACGUGACUUAACUCGAAAUCAUUAUAACACUAAUGAAGGAUUAUAAAGCAUUAAGAACAGAUUUGCAUUAGAUGAACACUAUGAAAAGAGUACAUUCUUACAAUAUUGCAGAUUACAAACAAUUCAUCUACAUCCUAAACUAUCCUAGAUCCUACCUCC
rnacentral:lncRNA from 1 species